GUACUAGCUUUGGGGGCGCAUAUACGAAGAUUGGAAUGAUACAGAAAUUAGCAUGGACCCUGUGCAAGGGUGAUACACAAAUCUGUGAAGCAUUCCAUAUUAAA
ensembl:snRNA U6 U6 spliceosomal RNA